GCUAAUACCGCAUAAUUGCUACGGCACAAAGGGGGCUUCGGUUCUCGCCUUUAAAGAAGCCCAAUUGCUCUUUAGGUAGUUGGUGAGGUAAAGGCUCACCAAGCCAACAAUCCCUAGCUGGUCUGAAAGGAUGAUCAGCCACACUGGAACUGAAACACGGUCCAAACUCCUACGGGAGGCAGCAGUGGGGAAUAUUGCACAAUGGGCGCAAGCCUGAUGCACCCAUGCCGCGUGCGUGAAAAAGGCCUUCGGGUUGUAAAGCACUUUCAGUCGUGAGGAAGGGUUAGUAGUUAAUACCUGCUAGCUUUGACGUUAGCUUUUUUAAUUUUUCACCGGCUAACUCCGUGCCACCAGCCGCGGUAAUACGGAGGGUGCAAGCGUUAAUCGGAAUUACGGGGCGUAAAGCGUACGCAGGCGGCUAAGUAAGUCAGAUGUGAAAGCCCCGGGCUCAACCUGGGAACUGCAUUUAAAAUUGCUAACCUAGAGUGCGACAAA
rnacentral:rRNA from 1 species